GUAGGGGCUGCAUUUCCAGAGGUUAAAGCCGUAAGGUUUGGUGGGGUCAGCAUUCAGGAGCAUCUCAUCAAAGUAUUUCCGUUUGGUUUCAUAAAGAAGCUUUUUAAGAUCAUCCUCCGCUCGUCGAUAUGCCAUUUGAACUCGCGAGCCUCGAGGAUGUUGAAGAAAAUCUUGCCUUCCUGGAUGCCCCUUCCCCAGAUGCCUUACCGAUUCAACACGCUGGUGGAGCCACAUUCGUGUUGGCCACUUCGUACCUCUGGCGCUGCUUGAGCCUCCUGCUGUGGGUGCGCACCACCAGAUAAAUGCCCAGGAUGACGACGAGGGCCAGGAGCAGGGAGGUGACCACAAACCAGCCGUAGUAACCAUCGGAAUCCGCCUCCUCCUGGGUGUUCUCCCAUUCGGUGAAGUUGCCUGAUGGAUCCUCCUUCAGCUGGCCGGUCUUCUGCUCUCGGAAGAGCGAGGCCUUGGCCAAAUUACUCGAUUCCGGGGCCAUGAAAACCGGCUCUGUGUUGUCGAUCCGGACGAAGGUGAGCCGGGCUCCCAGCAGAGGUUGCCUGUAGCGCCUCAGUCCAUGGCCAUAGUACUCGUAUAUAUCGGCGCCAAACUCCCGAUGCUGGUCCACCCACUGGCCAAUCACCUGGACUCGCACCUCGCUCCUGGGAUCCAUGCUGCGUCCGAAGUAGGCCUUCUCCGCCACAUCCAGGCCGCCCACUCCAUCUGCAUCCAGCUCCAGGACAGAGGAACGGUGCUCGAAGAGCAGGGGCAGCCUGGCCAGGCUCUUAUCCUGGUACACACUGCUCAUGUUGACCAGGAUCUUCUCCACAAAGGCGUAGUUCAAGCUGCCGUAGAUGGGCUUCCUCUCCCCACUGGGAUUCCGGAGCACGCUGUCGCCCAGGUGCAUCUUGUAGCUGUUCGACACAUUGCGCCACGGCAGGCUAUCUACGGGUAAAUCCCCUGAAGAAACUCACAAAGUUAUCGCCGAAGAUCAUGACCACGCAGGUGAACAGAUUGUCGGAGACCGCAUUGACCAGAUCCGUGUGCCGGAAGUGGCAGAGCUCCGUCUUCUCGCGCUCCACAUUGGUGGCCUUGGCUAUGUAGGUCAGCCGCUCCUUGGGAUUCAGCUCGGCGGCGUAGUUCUUGAGCACCGUGUGGUAUGGCACCCAGGCCAGGACCGAAUCCGCUUCAUUGGCACACACCUCCGCCUGGACACCGCGUCCACUCAGCUCCCCGUUGUGCAGCCGCAGGAAGUGGUGGUUGUCCCGCUUGACCGUCGUGGAGCCGUGAUCCGUGCACAGGGUGUCCACGAGACUCGCCUGCGAAUCAGCCAGAUAAAAGUUUAGACGGGAAACAAGCACCUCGAUCGCCGGCUUAUCUCAGCUCCGCCGGCAUUAUCUUCCCCAGCUGCGAUGGACACUUUGUCUCUUUAUCGUCAAGCUAAUUCAAUUUGGAAUAUCAGCCACUCGAAGGUGGCACACGAAUAAUUUAUGGCUGGCAUUGGAUUCGUCACUUAAGGAUGUCGAUGAGCUAAACUCGUUUGGACGAAACGGAAUUCAAAGCCAUUUAAGGCUGGGAGUUUGCAUCUGCUUGAGGUCACUCUUUACAAAAAUGGAUAAAUGUAAUUCACUUUUGGUUACCUAAUUAUAACACUAAGUCCUUCUCGCUGGGCAUGACUAUGUGUCGAUCGAUCUCCGACAGGAGCAGCGGUUCCGUUUCGAUGCAGAAGUGGGGGUGCUCCUCAAAAGCAGAGGCACCCAGCGCCACCAACACAGUCAGGCAACCGACGA